rnacentral:rRNA from 1 species
GACAGAGGGUGUAAACGUUGUUCGGAAUUACUGGGCGUAAAGCGCGUGUAGGCGGCUAAGUAAGUCGGGCGUGAAAUCCCACGGCUCAACCGUGGAAGUGCACUCGAAACUGCAUAGCUAGAGUCCUGGAGAGGAAGGUGGAAUGCUUGGUGUAGAGGUGAAAUUCGUAGAUAUCAAGCGGAACACCGGUGGCGAAGGCGGCCUUCUGGACAGUGACUGACGCUGAGACGCGAAAGCGUGGGGAGCAAACAGG